UUAAAGGUUAUGAAGGGGAGCAAAACCUGCAAGCCGCGCCACAGAGAGCUGGGGGUGCUGAAAACCAGCGCCGGAACAGGUGAAGACAUCGCCCCGGAACUACUUUGUCGAAAGGGCGCGUGCCCUGUAGGCAGAGUCGGGAGCAAGCGGCCCGUUACUGCCGCUGUGUCGCUGACACACUCAAGAGGUUUUCGCCGCCCGGCGGAAGCAAGCAGGGUGGUACCGCGGGAGGAAAUUUAGGCCUCUCGUCCCUGGU
rnacentral:ncRNA from 1 species